UAGGGAAUUUUCCGCAAUGAGCGAAAGCUUGACGGAGCGACACAGCGUGCAGGAUGAAGGUCUUCGGAUUGUAAACUGCUGUUGUAAGGGAAGAAAAAAUUUAAUAGGAAAUGAUUAAAUCUUGACGGUACCUUAUUAGAAAGUGACGGCUAACUAUGUGCCAGCAGCCGCGGUAAUACAUAGGUCACAAGCGUUAUCCGGAAUUAUUGGGCGUAAAGAGUUUGUAGGCGGUUUAUCAAGUCUAGAGUUAAAGCCUGAGGCUCAACCUCAGUCCGCUUUGGAUACUGGUUAACUAGAGUUAUAUAGAGGUAAACGGAAUUCUUAGUGAAGCGGUGGAAUGCGUAGAUAUUAGGAAGAACACCAACGGCGAAGGCAGUUUACUGGAUAUACACUGACGCUCAAGAACGAAAGCGUGGGGAGCAAACAGG
rnacentral:rRNA from 1 species